AGGACGAACGCUGGCGGCGUGCUUAACACAUGCAAGUCGAGCGAGGCUCCUCCUUCGGGAGGAUGCCCUAGCGGCGAACGGGUGAGUAACACGUGGGCAACCUGCCCCUAGCACUGGGAUAACCCCGGGAAACCGGGGCUAAUACCGGAUACGACUUCGGAAGGCAUCUUCUGAAGUGGAAAAGGUUACUGGCUAGGGAUGGGCCCGCGGCCUAUCAGCUUGUUGGUGGGGUAAUGGCCCACCAAGGCGACGACGGGUAGCCGGCCUGAGAGGGCGACCGGCCACGACUGGGACUGAGACACGGCCCAGACUCCUACGGGAGGCAGCAGUGGGAAUAUUGCACAAUGGGCGAAAGCCUGAUGCAGCGACGCCGCGUGAGGGAUGACGGCCUUCGGGUUGUAAACCUCUUUCAGCAGGGACGAAGCGAAAGUGACGGUACCUGCAGAAGAAGCACCGGCCAACUACGUGCCAGCAGCCGC
rnacentral:rRNA from 1 species